CUUUGCUGCACUGUUGUCGUAAAUAGCCGCUAAGUUACAAUGUUUAGAGCCCACACAGCUGUCGGUUAUUCUGCAUUAGUCGUUGGUAGUGUCUUGUCUGUUGUUAUCUACCUAUUAGGUUGCUGUGUAAUGUAUUUUUUUAGCCCUUUCUUUAAAUAACACAGUGAGUAAGACUAGUGUGUGGGAUGGGAACCCACCCCCCCGCGAUUUCUCAGGAGUGGUUGGAACUGGGCUUCGAUGUGCUGAAACCACGUGCAUGAGCUGGUGUUACCAUAAGCCGUGCAACUUAACCGCCCCGGCAUGGAUGGCACCGACGUUAGCUUCCUCAUGAGCAUCGAGCGGCGCCGGUGUGACGAGACGUGUGCCCUCGUAGAGUGUUGGAGUCGAGGUGUGCCUCGGGUCAAUGACAAAUGGCCCCUGGGAUGCACUUUAGGCACCCCGCCUUUUGUGGCUGUUUGUCGGGGUUCGACGCAAGGCAUCAGCUCUGCAAGCAAACCACAACUCUGUUUGGCUUGAUGGCUUCCCGUCGCAGGCGAGCGGGAGUGUUGUUGCGGCAGGAGAAGAGUCAGUACAGCACUCGGCCUCGUGAUCCCCGUCACCGAAGCUCAAAGAUGUUUCUGGUGGUGCAUGUCACACGGCAGUUGUUGCUUUCGGGGUGAGUUGGUGUUUUGUGUACAGGGCUCAUGACUGGGGCUGACCGGGUGUGUGCCUGGAGAGCGACGAGAUCUGUUGGUCAUUCUUCAGGAGGGGAGGGCAAUGACGUGAUCAUGCAUUUAUUUUUCGUGAUAUUUUCAAGUUCUACCAACAAAGUCCCAAAGAUUGACUGGUCGAUCGUGAUGGACGGGUUGGCAACCCCUACACUAGAGGCUCGCAGGUUCUCCAAGCUGCAUCUACAUAAGGCAUUUAUUUAUUAACUUGUGUUCAUUUCCAGUUUUGAGGCCGGAUUAACUGGUGAAGUUAGUGCUAACGUAGCCAAACUCACUUUUGCCGUCAUAGCACACAACUAUGGUGUGUUCAAGGACACACGUAGAUGUAAUAUAUAUAUUUUUUUACAAACAAUGUCACCACAGGGAAUAAGUUGUUGGACACAGGAGGGCUUUGGGGGCAAAAAGCCAGAGGAUUUUAUUGAGAGCCAAUUGUAGUUUUUGCUUUUACUUUUGCUAUUUUGUACUCUACUCAGACAAAUGCAUUUUGUAGAUAUUGCAUAUCAAAGGUAUCAACAUCGGUAUCUGCAAUACUGGCCCUGUAUUUACUUGGUGCCCACUCUAUCUUUAAAAGGUUUGAGCAAAAGGAGAGUAGCGAAGCUUUGCUGUAGUUUAAAACAGAAUUAAAAACAGAUUUUUCUUUAUCUUGGAGCAUUCAGAGGAAGGAUCCGGCCUCUUCCUGCUGCAGCUGCAGAGCAGAGCAGGUGUGCCUCGUUGUUCCACCCUUCACUGUAAGUAAUGUAAUACGGAGAUGGAUGCAGUUUGAGUUGCUUUGCUGCGCCUGCUUGGGACCUAAAAAUGUUUUACGUGGAAGUUAAACACAUCAUUUUUUUUGAUGCUGUUCUGUCAGAUUUCCAACACUGAAGUUCAUUUCCACUUCCAUGGUGAUGGCUUUCCUUUUCUUUCACGCAUUGCCGCUUGGGAGACGUAAAGAAGUGUAAAAAGUUAACUAAUAAGCGAUGUUGUUCUUCCUCAGGGUGGCAGAGCAGGCACAUACUGAAUUCUUCUGCCCGGCACAAGGCACACACUGCAUCCACGCGCCACGCGUUCUCUUUCGCCGCUGCACACUCUAACCAGAUCUGGAGAAAGUCUCACGUUUACGGACCAAAAUUAAGUUUUGAAUUAAUUUAUGGGAGCGCAGUCGUCACUACGAAACGUCGCAACAUGGAACGCCGUGAACCGAGGACCACCUGUACUGCGGUGUCCUUGUGUUAUGCCCAUGUGGUGGCACACCAUGUUUUCUUAUGGAAACAUACCUAAACUUUAAGCCUACAAAGGUAACCACAUAAUUAUUAUUAUAGCAACAGAUGGGAUUAAAUGUGUAUCGCCUGUUGCCGCCCAUUUUUCCCCGACGUCGCCUGCCUCUUGUUCCUCCUCCCACCAUUGCACCUGCAUGCUACUUGUGUGCUCCUGGCUGGAGGGAGCCCGGCUCACAAUGCACAUCUGGAGCGCAGCCCGCAUUGCAACGCAGCACUGAUGCUGACGACUUGGAUAUUUCAGGAGCCUUUUUUUCUUUUGACACGGUGAGUUGGUGGCAUUUUGACAGAAAAUGUAAAUAGAUUGCUGUUGCAACCAUUAAGGAUUUCAAACCAACCCUACUCUGGUGUCAGAGCGAGGAAUCACUAUAUAAAUUAGGUUAGUGAGGAUGUCAUUUGUUCAUGUCAGGACAGGAAGAAGUAUUGUCAUGAAUGGAAGUUUCUUUAUGAACUUGGGGGGCAGCAGGUGACUGAUUGCAUCUUCAGGACUUCAACUGGACUUUGACCGUAGGUUGAGAGCAGGCGAUGGUGAGUAGGCGGCGUACUGCGCAAUUGCGUCUCAAGUCAACUUUCCCAUCAAGCCACAUUGUGUGCAUGCCGGGGGUGGGCGGACUGAGCCAAAUACCGUAUCAGAUCGAUACUUACGUGGUGAGAUCAAUAUUGUGUCUUUCAUAUGCUGUAUUGUUUACAUCCAAAACUCACCUCAAGGAAUAAUAAAUCAUUGUAAUAAAUCAUUGGCUAUUUAGCCCUGCUGACUUUAUUUUGCUCCAACAGUUGUAUAUAAUAAAAUGGAAUGAUAGUUUAUUUGUUGUGAACAUUCUUAACAAGUUAAAUUCAGGAAUAUCACAUAUCAGGAAUAUCACCCCCCUCCUGGGGGUUUUCUUGCCCUGCUGGUGUCGGGUGGCGUGGCGCUAUGGGUUGCCUUGUUGUUUGUCCAUUUCUUUGCUUGCUUGUUUGUUUGUUUACUGGCUUUCCCGCUUGCCUGCUCCUUUGUCUGCUUUGCUGGGGUCGUCCUGCCUUUGUGGUGGAGGGAGAGUGCUGGCCCGGGGCUUGCAUGCUCUCUGAUGGUCUGUGUUCUCUGAGGCUCGGGGUCUGGGUUGUAGGUCUGGGACCCCAGAGUCCUCUGCCAGUCUGAGCUCUGGGCGCCCUGCUCAGGUGUGGCAUCUCUGGUCUGGUUCUGUGCUCCAUUGCCGGUCUGGCAUGACACCUCAGGUGGGUCCUGGUAGCACAGCAUAGCUUCCGGUUGUCAGGGAGCGCCCACAGUAUCGGUGUGUGUGUUUAUUUGUUUAUUCAGUUAUUUUUAAAUCAUUUAUUGAGCUUAUUUCUUGUUUUUUUUGGAUGGGUGAGGGUGAAGUGCCGGGGGCGCUUGUUUUUUGUUUUCCUUUUUGAUUCUUUUUUGCUGGGUGUCCCAUCUCUGUAGUCCGGGACUCCUUGGGGGUGCGUGGGGUACUGGCGCUCCUGGAUUGUGAGCGGAUAUUCUUCCUGGUGGUGGGAAUGGCUGUGGGCUUGCUGGUGUGUGGCCCUCGUUGGCAGUUUGCCCUUGUGGGGAGUGGUCUCUCGCUUGUCUCAGAGGCUGGUUGUCCUGCGGCCUGCUUGCGCCCACUUCCUGGCAGACGUUGCCUCUCUGCUGCCCCAUGCUGGCCUGCCUGUUGGGGGGCUCUGUGGGUUCGGUCAUGUGUGGUCCCCCUCCGUUCAUGUUCAGUGACAAAUACUAGGGGUGCUCCAAUCAGGGUUGUAUCCUGCCGAUUCCGAUACCGAUCACCCAUGAGUGAGAUCAUAUGGAUCUGUAAAUGUCUCUAUUUAUUUAUAAUGGUGCUAUUGGCCAGGGACGGCGUAUGGGGGGGGGAAAGUUAGGAAAAUUCCAAGGCCCCUGACUUAGCACCCCCAAAACAUGAUUUUUUUUCAUGGUGCCUAGAAUUCCUGGCUGUACCUCUGCUAUUGGUUACAUGAGCUAAUAUUUUACUUACUUUUUCAAGCGAACAUAAUCACGAGUGAAACUCUGACAGGGCUACGAAAUAUUUUCUUCCAGGUAGCCUGUAGCGGGGCUCAAAGUGAAAGAGCAGUCGGCAGAACCCAGUGUCUUCCACCGUUGAGAAAGGCUGGUCGUCUAGUCUAAUGAAUUUUUCAGGUUAUUUGCUUAGCCUUCUGACUGUCACGCGCAUACGGGCGAGUGUUGCCUAGCGUUUUGGCUGCGUUAGCUGCUGUUUGAUGGUGCUGCACCGUGAGCCUCGAAAACACACCUUACCCCGUCAAGCGUUUGUUCUUCAAAUGCCGUAUUAAAUGAAAGUUAUUUAACAUGCUACCCCCCGUGAGAUAUUUUUUGGGACAUAUGGGGUAAGGGUGACACUACCCAAGACAUUAGAGCAGGACACUACACUGCACAUUGGGGACUCUACAGGCUGCAGUCUGCAAUGGUAGAAGCCACAGGUGUUUUUGUGAUUGAAACUUAUUUUGGAACAUGUUUGUAUAUUUUUCUGGUACACUUUUUGAGUGUUAAGUUACACCGCUGUAUAA